CCAAACUUGGUCAUUUAGAGGAAGUAAAAGUCGUAACAAGGUUUCCGUAGGUGAACCUGCGGAAGGAUCAAUAACAAGAACAUGAUUGUUGUGGAGUAGAGGUAGGGAGAGAGAUAUCUUUCCCCCUUGCCUUGCUCCCAGCUAUCACAUUGACUCGGGCCGGUCACGGCCUAGAGACAUCCACGCUUGUAGAGUAUGACUGUGUAUGAUAAACUGUUAAUUAAAUGACAACUUUUAACAAUGGAUCUCUUGGCUCUUGCAUCGAUGAAGAACGCAGC
rnacentral:misc_RNA from 1 species